UGUUAAAUUCGCAAUUUCGUUACAUUUUUUCGGGGUUUUCCAGGAAUUGAACGAGAAAGUGUAAAUGCUGGUUCUGAUGAUAAACAAACUUGAAGCAUCGUAAUUUGUGACCAAAAAUGGUCACUCGGAGUUUCUCGGAGUAAUAAUAAUCGAGACCAGUGCGCUGUGCAGGAUUUUUGUAUCCAACCGGCCAAUAUGGGUGGCAUUCCAGUACUGUCCCUACCGAUUCGGCUUUCGGAACGAGGUCCAAUAAGUUUGCAACUAAUGGGACCCAGUUUUUCGGAGCAGCAAUUAUUUCAAUCAGCACGUUGGAUAGAAAAAGAAGUUGAAGAUUUUUUAGAAAAGUAUGAUUUUAAUAUAAAUAUAAUAAACAAAUAAAGUUGAAUUUUAGUUGAAUUGUUUGGUUUGUUGAAUUUUGUUUUUCGGGUCCAUUUGUUAGGAAAUAUAAGUGCCCGGCGUUUUGAAAGCAAAAUCGAGCUUAAUUCGAAAAUAUAUUCUUAUCUGAACUUAUUUUAUUCAA